rnacentral:rRNA from 1 species
GACGAACGCUGGCGGCGUGCUUAACACAUGCAAGUCGAACGGAAAGGCCCUGCUUUUGUGGGGUGCUCGAGUGGCGAACGGGUGAGUAACACGUGAGUAACCUGCCCUUGACUUUGGGAUAACUUCAGGAAACUGGGGCUAAUACCGGAUAGGAGCUCCUGCUGCAUGGUGGGGGUUGGAAAGUUUCGGCGGUUGGGGAUGGACUCGCGGCUUAUCAGCUUGUUGGUGGGGUAGUGGCUUACCAAGGCUUUGACGGGUAGCCGGCCUGGGAGGGUGACCGGCCACAUUGGGACUGAGAUAAGGCCCAGACUCCUACGGGAGGCAGCAGUGGGGAAUAUUGCACAAUGGGCGGAAGCCUGAUGCAGCAACGCCGCGUGCGGGAUGACGGCCUUCGGGUUGUAAACCGCUUUCGCCUGUGACGAAGCGUGAGUGACGGUAAUGGGUAAAGAAGCACCGGCUAACUACGUG